UAGGGAAUCUUCGGCAAUGGACGGAAGUCUGACCGAGCAACGCCGCGUGAGUGAAGAAGGUUUUCGGAUCGUAAAGCUCUGUUGUUAGAGAAGAACGUUGGUAGGAGUGGAAAAUCUAUCAAGUGACGGUAACUAACCAGAAAGGGACGGCUAACUACGUGCCAGCAGCCGCGGUAAUACGUAGGUCCCGAGCGUUGUCCGGAUUUAUUGGGCGUAAAGCGAGCGCAGGCGGUUCUUUAAGUCUGAAGUUAAAGGCAGUGGCUUAACCAUUGUACGCUUUGGAAACUGGAGGACUUGAGUGCAGAAGGGGAGGGUGGAAUUCCAUGUGUAGCGGUGAAAUGCGUAGAUAUAUGGAGGAAUACCGAUGGCGAAGGCGGCCCUCUGGUAUGUAACUGACGCUGAGGCUCGAAAGCGUGGGGAGCAAACAGG
rnacentral:rRNA from 1 species